rnacentral:lncRNA from 1 species
GUCCUGAUGUGUUUUGUCAACAGCUGUUCAAGACAAAAGGGGAACCGAAGAGCCACCCUGAACAGGAUGCGCUGCCUACCAAACGUCUCAGAGAGACUCGUAUUUCACAGAAUGCUGAGUGUGAGGUUCCAGAGGUUCCAUCCACUUCCCCACCCAAGGAGGACCUGACAAGCACACUGGCCCCUGCUCCCCAGGAGUCCCAGUCCCGUAAACGCCCUCUCAUAGUCAGGGUUGUUGCAUCCCCACACCUACCAGUAAAGCACCACAGGCUAGUAUGAGCGGUAGCUCCGGGUUGUAGUGAACUAACACCUGGCUACUAAGUAGAUGUGUCUUAGGCUUUUCUGGGACCAUUCCCAUUGUACAACUUCCUGCAGUAGAGCGCUCAUAGGCUUAACUAUGGCAGACAUAUUUGGAAUGAAUUUGCCAUAAUAGUUAAGUAAGGAAAGAAAAGACCUGAGCUCAGUGGUGUUUGUAGGAAUGGGAGCCUUCUCAAUAGCUUCAGUUUUCUGUUUCAUGGGGUGUAUCCCCUCUGCAUCUAUCACAUGACCUAGAUAGGCUGUUCUGGAAGAAAGAACAUUUCUCUCUUAACCUUCAGAUUGCAGACUUUGUCUUUUUAGGACUUCAAGAUUUCUCAUGUGCUCUUGUGUCACGCCCUGUGUUAAGUGUAUCAUCAAUAUAACAGAUUACCCCUUCUAUACCUUGUAGGAUCUGAUCCAUAAUUUUCAAAAAAAAAUAUCUGACACACAGGCAACACCAUAAGGAAGCCUGUUGACCUUAACAACCCCUUAUGUGUAUUCAUGGUGAGAUAGUGCUUAGACCGCUCCUCUAACUGUACUUGCUCGUAUGCCUGUGACAAAUCCAGCUUUGUGAACGUCUCAUCCCCGGCCAGCUUUGUGAACAAGUCCUGUGUUUUUGGUAAGGGAUUCUGAUCUACUUCCAUCCACGGAUUGAUAGUUACCUUGUAAUCUCCACAUAUUCUUACAGUAUUGUCUGUUUUCAGGAUACACACAAUUGGAGCAGCCCAUUCACUGUAGUUAACUGGAGUGAGGACCCUUUCUGACUCCAACGUAACUAGCUGUUUUUUAAUAUUUCUCUAAGUGCAUACGGCACUGGGCGAGGACUGCAGAACUUAUGUACAGCCCUAUUAGUUACAGGUAGCUUGGCUGUGAUACCUUUUAGCAUUCCUAGCUCUGGCUGAAACAGAGAAAUAUUUUUCACACAAACCAUCUACAGCUGUUACUGUGUACACGUGACCAGUCUAGCUUCAACUGACUGAUCCAGUCUCUACCCAGCAGGGCAGGAC